rnacentral:rRNA from 1 species
UACGUAGGGUGCGAGCGUUAAUCGGAAUUACUGGGCGUAAAGCGUGCGCAGGCGGUUAUGCAAGCCAGACGUGAAAGCCCCGGGCUUAACCUGGGAAUGGCGUUUGGGACUGCAUGGCUAGAGUACGUCAGAGGGGGGUGGAAUUCCACGUGUAGCAGUGAAAUGCGUAGAGAUGUGGAGGAACACCGAUGGCGAAGGCAGCCCCCUGGGAUGAUACUGACGCUCAGGCACGAAAGCGUGGGGAGCAAACAGG